rnacentral:tRNA from 1 species
UCCAGGGUAGCCUAGUGAACAUGGCACCUGCCCGGUAAGCAGAAGGUUGUGGGUUCGAUUCCCGCCCCUGGAC